AUCACCAAAUACAUAGUGUUCAAAUUUCCUAGGUUAAUUCAUAAUUUAAUUUCUUUUACACUUUGACUCAGAAUUCAAAUAAGUUCCAUAUCCUGUAAUUGGCUAUUGGUGUCUUUUAAGUCUCUUCUAAUCUGUAGAAUACCCUCUCCUCUUAUUUUUCUUCAGCUAUACAUUUGUUGAAGAAACUGGGUUGUUUCUCCUGUUGCCCACAUCUGGACUUUGCUGACUGCUGCAUCCCAUGGUGUCACUUAAUAUAUUUAUCUGACCUUGUAUUUCCUGGAUAUCAGUGGUUAAAUCGAGAGCCCUCAUCAGCUUUUCUCUGUGAGCAAGAACAGUUCAGAGGUGUUCUUUCUUUACUCAGCAACUUGAAGGAGAGAGGUGAAGGCAAGGCAGACUUGGGGCACAAUCAUAUCCGGUGGCACCUGUAUUCACCCUGAAUUCCAAUAGCAUCACCUGACCUACCAGGAUAUACAUGCCCAGUGUUUAUUCAGGGAAGAACAACGAGGCCCUGGAUAGGAUGUGAUGAAUGAAUCUUCUUAAUGAGAAGUGGAAAUCAUUUGUGGUUGAGAGCUGUGCCUCAGAUCAGAGUGACAGGAUACAUGGCCAGGCUAUAUUUUCCAGCAGAUUAAGUUAAAAGCUGUGGCCCAAGACUCUGAAAUAUGAAGAAAAAAGAAGAAGAUGACAGGAUAUUUUUUCAAAGAAAUAUUUUCCAGCCAAAAGGUGCAGCAGAUCACUUCCAGGAAUUUGUUCUUGUUCUCUAUCAAAGGUGAAGAGUUCAGAGCCUUCAAGGAAACAAGAAGCUGUGGGAUGGAGUGAGGAAGUCUGGCCCAUUGGCUUUGGGCCAGUUGCUGAAUCCCUCCAAGCCCCAGUUUCCUCGUCUCUAAAAUGGGGCUGGUCUUUCCACCUAGGAUGUUCAUCGCAGGGAUUAAAUGAAGUAUUGAGUAUUCCCAUCCUCCCUAACUAGGGAGAUCUGAGUUCUGGUUCUGGUCCUGAUAGGAUGUGGCUGGUCCAGAAGGUCAAAGAGGUAAUUAGGGGGAUUUCCAGUUUCAUGACCAGGAUCGCCAUUCU